UAGCGAGACUGCCGGUAAGUAAACCGGAGGAAGGUGGGGAGUGACGUCAAAUCAUCAUGCCCCUUAUGACCUGGGCUACACACGUGCUACAAUGGUUGGUACAACGAGUUGCGAGUCGGUGACGGCGAGCUAAUCUCUUAAAGCCAAUCUCAGUUCGGAUUGUAGGCUGCAACUCGCCUGCAUGAAGCCGGAAUCGCUAGUAAUCGCGGAUCAGCAUGCCGCGGUGAAUACGUUCCCGGGCCUU
rnacentral:rRNA from 1 species